rnacentral:rRNA from 1 species
UGGUGAGGUAACGGCUCACCAAGGCGACGAUGGGUAGCCGGCCUGAGAGGGUGUACGGCCACACUGGGACUGAGACACGGCCCAGACUCCUACGGGAGGCAGCAGUAGGGAAUAUUGCGCAAUGGACGGAAGUCUGACGCAGCGACGCCGCGUGAGCGAUGAAGGCCUUCGGGUCGUAAAGCUCUGUCCUUGGGGAAGAAGGUCUUCGGACUUGACGGUACCCAAGAAGAAAGCCCCGGCUAACUACGUGCCAGCAGCCGCGGUAAUACGUAGGGGGCGAGCGUUGUCCGGAAUUACUGGGCGUAAAGGGUGCGUAGGCGGCCCUUUAAGUCAGAUGUGAAAGGCCACGGCUUAACCGUGGGAUUGCAUUUGAAACUGGAGGGCUUGAGUGUCGGAGAGGGUAGUGGAAUUCCCAGUGUAGCGGUGAAAUGCGUAGAUAUUGGGAGGAACACCAGUGGCGAAGGCGACUACCUGGACGAUAACUGACGCUGAGGCACGAAAGCUAGGGGAGCAAACAGGAUUAGAUACCCUGGUAGUCCUAGCCGUAAACGAUGGGUACUAGGUGUAGGUGGUUUCGAUACCAUCUGUGCCGGAGUUAA